UGGGGUUUAUGGAUGCUUUUCUUCAAUAUAUUUCAACCAGUAUCUUUCACGUCACAAUUCACAUCUUAACGUUCUCUCUCUCUCCCUCUCCGUCACGAGUCACGAUCUCUGAAAAUUGGUUUCUGUAAUAAUCUAAAAUACAGGAAGAAGAUUGUUUCUAAUUACGUGUAAUUUCAUUUCAUAUUGAAGACAACGACGAGACUUAAAUUUUCUUAAAACCGUCACUGUCAAAUAUCUUUUACGUGCCUUUUAUUUGCUCUUCGCUUUAUCCUUC